GGGCCUGUAGCUCAGCCUGGUAGAGCGCUUGCAUGGCAUGCAAGAAGUCGGGGGUUCAAGUCCCCCCAGGUCCA
rnacentral:tRNA from 1 species